rnacentral:rRNA from 1 species
AUUGAACGCUGGCGGCAGGCCUAACACAUGCAAGUCGAACGAGUGGCGGACGGGUGAGUAAUGUCUGGGAAACUGCCCGAUGGAGGGGGAUAACUACUGGAAACGGUAGCUAAUACCGCUUACAACCGGAUGUGCCCAGAUUGGAUUAGCUCGUAGGUGGGGUAAUGGCUCACCUAGGCGACGAGCCCUAGCUGGUCUGAGAGGAUGACCAGCCACAGUGGGACGGAGACAGGGUCAAGACUCCGACGGGAGGGAGCAGUGGGGAAUAUUGCGCUAUGGGCGCAAGCCUGAUUCAGCCAGGCCGCGUGUAUGAAGAAGGCCUUCGGGUGGUAAAGUACGUUCAGCGGAGAGGCGUUACUCGCAGAAGAAGCACCGGCUAACUCCGUGCCAGCAGCCGCGGUAAUUC